rnacentral:rRNA from 1 species
UGCAGCGACGCCGCGUGGAGGAAGAAGGUCUUCGGAUUGUAAACCCCUGUCAUGUGGGAGCAAAUUAAAAAGAUAGUACCACAAGAGGAAGAGACGGCUAACUCUGUGCCAGCAGCCGCGGUAAUACAGAGGUCUCAAGCGUUGUUCGGAAUCACUGGGCGUAAAGCGUGCGUAGGCGGUUUCGUAAGUCGUGUGUGAAAGGCGGGGGCUCAACCCCCGGACUGCACAUGAUACUGCGAGACUAGAGUAAUGGAGGGGGAACCGGAAUUCUCGGU